AGAAAAAGAUCGCUUUUGAUUUCCUAACUGUGGUGCGCUUCAGACCCACGGCUCCCACACCCUUUGGCUCCAGCCUGAUGUCCACAGCACCGUGGGGAAACUGAGGCAGGAGGGGCCCAGCAGGUAUCAAAUGCAAUGCCUGAAGUUUCCAGGUGUGAGGUUUUCUCUCAGCUGGAGUAGGGUAGAGAGGACACAGAAUGUGACAAGGAGGACCCUGUGCCCCUGGCAGCCCGGGCCGGACCCCAGGAGAGAGAGAAGAAAGAAACUCCGUAGCUCAGAAGUGAUGCUGACUGAAGCUGUUCCUCCGCUAUCCCCUAUGCUUCUGGAUCCUAGGACCCAGGCUCCCCAGCAUGUGCUCUCACUGCCCCCAGAGUAGAGAGUGACAUAGUCUCAGAAAGCACUAGGCCCUCAGCUAGCACCCCGGGGUUCUUAGGCUUUCAGCUGUCUGAAAGAGAACCAGAAGGGAGCUGAGAGUGGCUGGUGAAUUUGCAAAGGGGUCAGCCCUAUAGCCAAGAACUGCAGAUUAGCCAACUAUACCAGGGGUUAUUGGGCUGGUAGCUAGGCCACCAGGUAGCAGCUCCGGGGGGCAGGUGGGGGUAUGAUGGGAAUGAGUGGAGGAUGAGCAGCAAGGCCCAGAGCAAUCCUUCUGCAAGGCUUAGGUGCAGUGCACAGAAUUUGGGACCCUCCCUCCCCCGCCACAGAACUGGAGGGCAUGUUGCAUACAAGAUGGCUCAUCCCCUGUACCCUGGAGACCACUGUGCCUUGAAGGCGCAGCCACCUCCCCUGCAGCCUAGCAAAGAGGGAGAGGGAGGAGGAGUGGCCUCUUGAGAACAGAGACAGCCCUGCAGUGCCUCUGACCUUUGAAAAGUCAGGUACUUAGCUGAAGGGUGAAAUGCGCUUGAACUAGGAAGUUAACUCUCACUUGCUCAGCAAGAUGCUGAGGUCAGGUGGGGUGUUGUGUCUGUGUGUGUACGCGCAUGUGUGCAUCCAGUUGAGCCUUGUGUACAUUUGGAGCCCCUGGCCCAGCUUGUGGUGGCCAAGAGCAGCUCUUCAGGACUGAGUCUCUCCAGUAGGCAGUGUGUCAAUAGCAGUGGGCCCCAGUUCCCCCCAAAGCUAUCUCUGAGGGGCAGGUUUGCAGAGCAAAUGAAGAAUGUAAACAGGAUUGCAGGAGGAUUAAGGGCUUUUGGCAAACAAAGUUCCCCAGCCCCCGAGGGGCUCCCCUGGAAGCACCUAUUGACAGGCAAACAAAGGAUGCACUAAUUUAUCCUUUCACCAGGGCCGCACCCCUGGGGACCCUGCCCCUCCCCAGUGUCCUCACCGGAUCACUAGUUAACCUUGAUAAUGUUAGGCACCUAGUUCUGUCCUUUGUGUCCCCACCCCAACAUCCUCCCCCACCCCCCAUGGUUACAGUGAAUUAAUGAGAUGUCCAUGUGACCCGCCCGCCUCUGUUUAAUAUGCGACAGAGGUCAGAGUCACUGAAGCCCGCGUUGUCCGGGCUUGUCCAGAGGGGGAAGAAAUGGCUGAUCCGGGGUUUUAUGUUUCUAUUAAUACCUGAGCACAAACGCAUUGUGACUCAGCCUCCUCCUGCCUCAGGGGCCGCCUCCCUCCCUCCCCCAGCGCAGGACCUGACCCCAAGGGUCCGAGGGGGAGGGGGAAGCAGAGGGGGUACUGGAGGGUCCAAGCAGGUCUCAGGUCCAGCGACCCACUGAGGCAGGACUCAGGAGCGGGUCCCCAAACCAGCGCUUAGAAGCAUUCUUUGAUGAGGAACAGAGGGCUAGCUGAAGACUAGCCCUUUGUUCUCCAUCAUUCCCGAUGACAUUUCGGUAGGAUGAUGGAUUUAGGAACCAUUGGCCCAGUUCCUAUGGGACAUCCAGAUUCAGUGCAUGAAUGUUGACUGACUAUAUACUAGAAGGAAUGAAUGACCCAGCUGGCCCAUCUUGCUCAGUAGUGUCCAACUCCACCACUAAACAGCGGGGUGACUUUGGACCAGACCCCAUACCUUCCCCUCACAUAUGGAAUGGCCUUUGGGGAAGACUUAAUGAGAUACUCCGCUUAAAAAACUUGCAGAGUGCCUGACACAAGACCACAGAGUAGAGUAAGGGAGGAGAGACAUAUAAACCUCUUUAUUGAGGGGUGAUUCACAUCUGAUAAAAUUCACCUGUUUGAAAUGUACAAUUCAA